GACGAACGCUGGCGGCGUGCUUAACACAUGCAAGUCGAACGGAAAGGCCCUGCUUUUGUGGGGUGCUCGAGUGGCGAACGGGUGAGUAACACGUGAGUAACCUGCCCUUGACUUUGGGAUAACUUCAGGAAACUGGGGCUAAUACCGGAUAGGAGCUCCUGCUGCAUGGUGGGGGUUGGAAAGUUUCGGCGGUUGGGGAUGGACUCGCGGCUUAUCAGCUUGUUGGUGGGGUAGUGGCUUACCAAGGCUUUGACGGGUAGCCGGCCUGAGAGGGUGACCGGCCACAUUGGGACUUAGAUACGGCCCAGACUCCUACGGGAGGCAGCGGUGGGGAAUCUUGCACAAUGGGCGGAAGCCUGAUGCAGCAACGCCGCGUGCGGGAUGACGGCCUUCGGGUUGUAAACCGCUUUCGCCUGUGACGAAGCGUGAGUGACGGUAAUGGGUAAAGAAGCACCGGCUAACUACGUG
rnacentral:rRNA from 1 species